rnacentral:rRNA from 1 species
GACGAACGCUGGCGGCGUGCUUAACACAUGCAAGUCGAACGGUGAAGCGCCUUCCUUUUUGGUGGGUGUGGAUGAGUGGCGAACGGGUGAGUAACACGUGAGUAACCUGCCCCCUUCUUCUGGAUAACCGCAUGAAAGUGUGGCUAAUACGGGAUAUUCUGGGUCUGUCGCAUGAUGGGUCUGGGAAAGAUAUUGUUUCGGUGGGGGAUGGGCUCGCGGCCUAUCAGCUUGUUGGUGGGUGAUGGCCUACCAAGGCGGUGACGGGUAGCCGGCCUGAGAGGGUGGACGGUCACACUGGGACUGAGACACGGCCCAGACUCCUACGGGAGGCAGCAGUGGGGAAUAUUGCACAAUGGGCGCAAGCCUGAUGCAGCGACGCCGCGUGAGGGAUGGAGGCCUUCGGGUUGUGAACCUCUUUCGCCAGUGAAGCAGGCCUGCCUCGUUUGUGGGUGGGUUGACGGUAGCUGGAUAAGAAGCGCCGGCUAACUACGUGC